rnacentral:rRNA from 1 species
AGAGUUUGAUCCUGGCUCAGAAUCAACGCUGGCGGCGUGCCUAACACAUGCAAGUCGAGCGAGAAAGGGGUAGCAAUACCCUGAGUAAAGCGGCGCACGGGUGAGUAACACGUGGGUAACCUGCCCUAGAGUGGGGAAUAACACCGGGAAACCGGUGCUAAUACCGCAUACGAUCAUGAUGUCUUAGGAUGUUGUGAUGAAAGGAGCAAUUCGCUCUUGGAGGGGCCCGCGGCUGAUUAGCUAGUUGGUAAGGUAACGGCUUACCAAGGCUACGAUCAGUAUCCGGUCUGAGAGGACGGUCGGACACACUGGAACUGAGACACGGUCCAGACUCCUACGGGAGGCAGCAGUGGGGAAUUUUUGGCAAUGGGGGAAACCCUGACCAAGCAACGCCGCGUGGGUGAUGAAGUCUCUUGGGACGUAAAACCCUUUCGACGGGGAAGAAAGGCCGCAAGGCUUUGACGGUACCCGUAGAAGAAGCCCCGGCUAACUCCGUGCCAGCAGCCGCGGUAAUACGGGGGGGGCAAGCGUUGUUCGGAAUUACUGGGCGUAAAGGGCGCGUAGGCGGUCUGCUAAGUUGGGUGUGAAAACUCUGGGCUUAACCCAGAGCCUGCAUUCAAAACUGACAGGCUAGAGUUCUGGAGGGGAUAGCGGAAUUCCUGGUGUAGCGGUGAAAUGCGUAGAUAUCAGGAGGAACACCGGUGGCGAAGGCGGCUAUCUGGACAGAGUCUGACGCUGAGGCGCGAAAGCUAGGGGAGCAAACAGGAUUAGAUACCCUGGUAGUCC